GGUGGGCAUGCAAAUCCAGCCAGACGGGAGAGUUUUAUUUCAGAGACGUGAUAUGGAGUAGAAUGGAUAUUCAUCUGUUAUGUUUAAAGAUGCAUCUUCUGAGGGCGAAAUCCAGUCGUCCAUUCCUCCCUGAGAACGUGGGAGAGUCGUCUUUGGCUACGAAGUAACGCUUAGACCCUCCAUCUGCUGUGGCUUAUCCAGAAGCAAGCAUCGAUCCCAGCCAACAUUAUUUUGGGGAUGAAAUCCAUUCUACAAAUAGCCAAGCACAGAGUAAUCACUUAACAAAUACCACUGGAAAAAAAAAGGUCCAGACUGCUGUUGAUGAACUCCGCACACAGAAAACGUUCAAUAAACACCACUGACUGAUUGCUGUUCCAUCACUGGACCAAUCCAUACUUGAAGGACAGCCGGUCCUCAAGAAGAUCAAUCUGGAGUCACUCAAUCCCCAUGUCUUCAGCAGAAGAAAAUCCCAGAGUCAUAACUUAUUCCCCAACGGCCCAUUUGAGCCAUUCAUCUCCAUCACCUGCCUAAUACCUCUCUCUGAUGGCUGACUCCCUGGACGGAUCAGAAUUCCACCCUUUCUCCUCCACCCCUACGUCCCACCACCAAAAGGGGCUGGUCUGCUCCAGUCUAGACUACCCGUGACCCGGAGGAACCAUUGUCCAUGUGGCCACCUUUGGCUCACAAGACGCAGCGUGGCUUAGUGGAAAGAACACGGGUU